CAGGUGGACACAGGGAUGGACAGAUGGACACGGGGAUGGACAGAUGGACACGGGGAUCGACAGAUGGACACAGGGAUGGACAGAUGGACACGGGGAUGGACAGAUGGACACGAGGAUGGACAGAUGGACACAGGGAUGGACAGAUGUACACGGGGAU